rnacentral:lncRNA from 1 species
GCACGUUAUAGAGAACCUUGUAUUGCGUUCCAUCCUGCUACAAAAACCCUGAACUGUGGUUUGAGCAGAGCAACUGAGUGGACGUACAGGGAGCACAAUGGAAACAGAAGAGGACAGAAAGGCGGAGCCAAUUGAUGAAGGGGAAGUGCAGAAGGUAGUCCAUGGACACGAGACAGGUGAUAUCCUCAGCAGCUAUUGUUUCACUAACCAAUGAUGAAUUGAAAGACUUGGAGUGACACAUUUGGGGGACCAGGUUAUCUUGAGGCAAAAAUGCUGUCGAGUCACCCCGACCAACAAAGUAAGACUCUUAAUCAUUCAAAAUUUUUCUGUUUUUAAAUCUUGUUUUAUCACAUGAAUUGUAGGUCUGAUUCACUUACUGCUUCAUAUUGAGGUCCAGUUGGCAACCUGGUUGUGAGGUAGUAGAGAAGUGAUGAAUGAGAGUCUACAGAGAAACUGGAAUAUGAAAUAACAAUGUUUUAGGUGGAUUUAGUGGACAGUUUUUGAAGGCGUUGACAAAAUCAUGUUCAUAUUUAUCUCCUUGAAACGUUUAAAAUUUAUGCAUCAAAACACUUCUGGACGUAAUAGACGGAAUCAGGUCAACUUGUCCCCUGGCCAACUCGCCCCCCGGAUGAGUCAACCCCAGCCAAGUCACCCCCUGGCAAACUCGCCUCCUGACCAAGUCGCCCCCUCAGAGGAAAGUCCACUGGUGUGGGCCAUUAAAGUGUCCUUGUAAAAGGCUGGACAUUAAAGAGUUCACCUUCAGAGGAUGGGAACCGGUCAACUCCUACCCAAGUUAACUCAUACCGAGUCAACUCAUAGCCAAAAAUUUACACCCAAGUUAAGUCAUACCCGCGUCAAGUCGUACCCAGGUUAACUCGUACCAGAGUAUAGUCGUACUCAAGUUAACUCGUACCCAAGUUAACUUGUACCCUAUGAAUUUUCACAUUGAAUCUGGCCAAUGGAAACAUUUUUCCCGGCCACGAAUGACGAAAGAGGAGUGACAGCAUUGUUCCCAUAUUCUCUUCUCUGUUGACUUGUAUUGUUGGGAAAAUUAAAUUAAGAUAAUGAAUAUGAAAAAAUAUCAUUUGUCGAAUUGUUACUGCCAUCGCCAUGUUUUUCUCUUUUUAUUAGAGGUGAUCCUAUGAAGUCUUGAUGCCAAUGGUCACACUAUACAUCAGAGCGGUCUAUGCCGCAAACAUUGAGCGUUGCGGGGUGAACGUUGUUGGAAAACAAACUUGAAUUUAAGUUCAGCGUGCAGUAUAAGCAUAAAGAAAAUGGAAACAAACACAACUGAAAUUGCAGCUUUUGGCAUGCAAUAAUUUGAGUGACUUCUUUUCUUCAUGAAUUGGUAAAAUAAUAGUCCGAGCACCUCCAGCCGUACAGUUCUAUCACAAACUUUGUAGUACAGUUUGCGAUAGUACUGUACGACUGACCGGAUGCACACGGGGCGGUAAAAUAAAUGUAUUAAUGAUGUGCUGUAUAUGAUUGUACAUGAUUUGAGUGACUUCUUUUUGCAAUAAAAUUUGAUAGACAAAUAAACCAAAGCAGUGUAAUAUGGGGGGGGGCAGGCGUAGUAUGCAUCACCAUUUUGGGGCUAUUUGGGGGCUGGCCAUCAACCUGCCCCCUUGGAUAGUCUCGGGAGAAUCCACACUUUCUAUUGUUGCUCUAUGAAGCGCAACUGCAUGUUGGGAAGAUGGAAAUUGCCCCCCCCCCUAUUCUCUUUUGUUUAACCUUAUGUUUUCUCCUUGGAAUGUCCCUAUACAUAGUGUAAAUUGCUUGAUGCACUGCUAGAUUUACCCAUUAGCUACAUGGAUCAACCCACAUAGCUAAUGAAGUGCCACAUCAUCACAGGGGUACAGCAGGGGUACAGGAAGUGGCUUUGGUUCAUUGUUCUUUCAGCGAUGACCAAGUCCACAUGUGUGUGCCCAAUAAAGCUAGUAUUAGAGUGUUUCCCUGUAUCUUUUGCUGACUGAAGCUCUCAUUCUUCUUUCAGGUAUGUAGAGUUUCUUCCCAUUUUAUGAUGAUGCAAGCGUAUUUUCUAUUAUAUUAUUGUAUAACUUUUAGAUGUUUAAGACUUUAAACUAAGACUGGACUCUCAGUUGGAGGAAUUUCAUACAGUACACAGAAAAUGUCUUGGUCCAGUAUUUUCCCUCUGAGAAGUGUUGAAGUGAUGUAGUUGAAAUUUCAAUACUAGUUACAUGUACUCUAGUAGGAGUUCAUUUUCAGGAAUGAUUUUAGAGUAUUUUAUUAAGGAACCCUUUUGAUAUUUGCUGUGCCAGGAUAUGCUGUAUGAGGCAUGUUACUCAGUGUACAGAAGGCCUAGACAUGCCUUAGUGUGUGCAUAGAGGUAGGAAAAGGAGUUAGCGCGAGCUAAGAUCAGAGGGGCUAUGUCUCAUGCCACGAUAAGAUCACGACCGCAAAGUAAACAACGGUCCGGGCUGCCAAAAACCGCAAGCGCGUUGCAUGCUGGGAUAUUAGUAGGCAUUGCGCACGUGCACCGGCUCCCAACGCAAAUGAAAAAAUGGCGGCCUACGGAGCUGACGACUUUUAUUACAGGUCUGAUUUGAGCGAUUUUUCAGAGAGUGAGGAGGAGAUUUUUGACUUUCCCGACGAUGAAUGUGAAGAAGAGAUGCCAAGAUACUGUGUGUGCGGACUUCCGGCAACUACAGACACGAUAGCCUGUGAUAAGGCCGGAUGCAGUAUCGAAUGGUUUCAUUUCGAUUGCGUGGGGCUGUCCGACGACAACAUUCCAAAGGGAUCCUGGUUUUGUUGCGUCUGUCGCAAAGCCGACAGUACUACCGGGCUCACUGAUGGUAAGUGCUCCCUUUCCUUGAGUUGGAACAACAUACUUUUCAGCCUUGACAUGUCUGGUUACUACCCUCUGUCUAAAAUAGAAAAGGGUGACAAAACUUGCACAUGCACAUGACAAUGCAAUGCAUCGAUGAUGAUUGAUCCUGCAUGUCCUGAUCCUGUACUGCCUGUUGUCAAUUUGCAUUAGCAUGAUUAGGGCCUAGGCAGUGCUAGGCAUAAUAAAAAAAAAAAAAUUAUGAAAUGUUCAGAUGGAUGGUUUGGCCGGCCAUGACUUGCCAUCAUUUUCAACAUGCUACAUUUUUCCUCUUUAUUCUGUAGGCCUACUCUUUUUUUUUUUUUUUGCUUCAUAUUCAUUUCUACCAGUAGAUUCGUCAGACAUUGCCUCCCAUGAAAAUGAAGAGCCUGCACUGGUGGAUACUGCAUCACAUGCCUCAGCACAAUCUGACCCUCCAUCUUCUGAGCAUGCCAAGUCUACCACGAAGACCUUGGGGUGAAGCGCCGCAAAGGGAAAGGAAAGAGCAUCA